ensembl:lncRNA
GGCACAGAGAGGGAAAAGAGUGGAUCUUCUUUUUUUUUUUUUUUCAUUCCCUGCAUGAGUGGAUCUUUGGUCUGCUUUUGUCUCCCUUUUCUGCUGUUGCGCUCAUCAACACCCUGCCUUACGCUUGGCAUUUCUUCCCCAUAUAGGUCAGUCUCCGUUGGAGGAGAAGAAGGAGAAAGCGAGAAACACCAAUGCCACGAGAAGCAGCUAUUUAGGUGACCUGUGCAAAGGAAAAGGUCUGCACGGGAGCGGCGGCAGCAGCGAGCCACCGGGCUGCAGAGAGAAGCCGUGAGGAUAAUCAUUUGUUACCCGGCAGUCGAGAGGCUCCAGACCACACCGGGUUCACCAAGCGAGGUGGUAUGACCUCAGGCAAAGUCUGACGUACACCGACCGACCGACCGGCUGGGAGAGGAAUUAGAUUCUACGCCGUGACGGCCUAUUGGGGGCAGCAAGUCACCAGAAACAGAAGUUGGAUGGCUGACGGGUGUACUUUGAUGAGUGGAGCGCGAGCCGGACAAUUUGGAUGUUGAUGGCGAAUUCAUCUAAAUCAACGGUGAAAGAGGGGACAUUUGUCCGGUAAAGAGGGCUAUUUAUCAGCGGUGAUUGAUAUCCGGCCCUGGAACGCCUCAGGCUGCACCGAUCCAUCCACUGCCAAUCACUGAACUUUUCCUGAGAAAUUUACGGCGCGUUCAGCGCUCGGGUCUGCCUGCUAAAGCGGACCGGCAUCCCUCCGCAGGCUUUAUGCUCGCUGAUGUGUUUCAUAUGCACAGGGCUGAUACGUUUAAACACACACGCAUCUGCAGGUUUAUUGGACCACAUUCACUUAUAGAUUUGCAAUAUGCUGCACCUGAUCAUUAUGUAUAAAUAUUAUUUUACACUAGGAGGCUAGACCAGCAUUAGUGCAUGGGCUUGUUUUCUGUUCUAUUGUUUAUACAUCAGUCUCUUUUUGGAAAGUGUACUGUACAAAUAAAUGUACAUUUAAAGGUGACCCACAUCUGCCUCUAAGGGCGGGUAUUAGUUUGGGAAUUUGAUUGCAAACCAACCAAAACAAUACUCCAGGGUCUUAUUUUGUGCCUGUUCAAUAUUUUGAACAGUCAGUUUAAUUAAAAACAUUAUUUCUUCCACAAGUCACUUAACUCUCGUUUAGUAAAAGCUUGAAUGUCAC